AUUACCGAGUUUACAACUCCCAAACCCAAUGUGAACGUUACCAAACUGUUGCCUCGGCGGGAUCUCUGCCCCGGGUGCGUCGCAGCCCCGGACCAAGGCGCCCGCCGGAGGACCAACCAAAACUCUUAUUGUAUACCCCCUCGCGGGUUUUUUAUAAUCUGAGCCUUCUCGGCGCCCCUCGUGGGCGUUUCGAAAAUGAAUCAAAACUUUCAACAACGGAUCUCUUGGUUCUGGCAUCGAUGAAGAACGCAGCGAAAUGCGAUAAGUAAUGUGAAUUGCAGAAUUCAGUGAAUCAUCGAAUCUUUGAACGCACAUUGCGCCCGCCAGUAUUCUGGCGGGCAUGCCUGUCCGAGCGUCAUUUCAACCCUCGAACCCCUCCGGGGGGUCGGCGUUGGGGAUCGGCCCUCCCUCUGCGGGGGCCGUCUCCGAAAUCCAGUGGCGGUCUCGCCGCAGCCUCUCCUGCGCAGUAGUUUGCACACUCGCACCGGGAGCGCGGCGCGUCCACAGCCGUUAAACACCCAACUUUCUGAAAUGUUGACCUCGG
rnacentral:rRNA from 1 species